GGUAGUCCACGCAGUAAACGAUGAUUACUAGCUGUUUGCGAUACACAGUAAGCGGCACAGCGAAAGCGUUAAGUAAUCCACCUGGGGAGUACGCCGGCAACGGUGAAACUCAAAGGAAUUGACGGGGGCCCGCACAAGCGGAGGAACAUGUGGUUUAAUUCGAUGAUAGGCGAGGAACCUUACCCGGGUUUGAACGUAGGGAGACAGAAGUGGAAACAUUCUAUUCAGCAAUGACUGCCUACGAGGUGCUGCAUGGUUGUCGUCAGCUCGUGCCGUGAGGUGUCGGCUUAAGUGCCAUAACGAGCGCAACCCUUGUCGUUAGUUGCCAUCAAGUAAAGUUGGGGACUCUAGCGAGACUGCCACCGUAAGGUGCGAGGAAGGGGGGGAUGACGUCAAAUCGGCACGGCCCUUACGUCCGGGGCGACACACGUGUUACAAUGGCAGGUACAGAGGGCAGCUACCCAGCGAUGGGGUGCGAAUCUCGAAAGCCUGUCUCAGUUCGGAUCGGAGUCUGCAACUCGACUCCGUGAAGUUGGAUUCGCUAGUAAUCGCGCAUCAGCCAUGGCGCGGUGAAUACGUUCCCGGGCCUUGUACACACCGCCCGUCAAGCCAUGGAAGCUGGGGGUGCCUGAAGUUCGUUACCGCAAGGAGCGACCUAGGGCAAAACUGGUAACUGGGGCUAAGUCGUAACAAGGUAACC
rnacentral:rRNA from 1 species